rnacentral:misc_RNA from 1 species
GUGAAUCAUCGAAUUUUUGAACGCAUAUCGCACUCUCUGGUAUUCCGGAGAGUAUGCCUGUUUGAGGGUCAGUUAAAUAAAAAUCGGGGUUUUUGCCACCUUUGGGGGUGACGAUUCGAAAUUGGGUCGUAUUUACCUUUUGGUUAAGUGACUUAAAAUUUUUUGUAUGAUAUCUGAACGUAUUUAAAUUUAUUUGGUACGUUUUGUAAUAUCGAAUGUUUAUUAGGUGUGAUCAUCCUCAUGCCUCAACGUCUAUAAUUUUUUCAUUUAAUGACAUUAAAUCAGGUAAGAGUACCCG